rnacentral:rRNA from 1 species
AAAAACUCCGGUGGUAUGGGAUGGGCCCGCGUCUGAUUAGCUAGUUGGCGGGGUAAAGGCCCACCAAGGCGACGAUCAGUAGCCGACCUGAGAGGGUGGCCGGCCACAUUGGGACUGAGACACGGCCCAAACUCCUACGGGAGGCAGCAGUGGGGAAUAUUGCGCAAUGGGGGAAACCCUGACGCAGCAACGCCGCGUGAGUGAAGACGUAUCUCGGUAUGUAAAGCUCUAUCAGCGGGGAAGAAGGAAGACGGUACCCGACUAAGAAGCCCCGGCUAACUACGUGCCAGCAGCCGCGGUAAUACGUAGGGGGCGAGCGUUAUCCGGAUUUACUGGGUGUAAAGGGAGCGUAGACGGCGUCGCAAGUCUGAAGUGAAAGCCCGUGGCUCAACCGCGGAACCGCUUUGGAAACUGCGAGGCUGGAGUGCUGGAGAGGUAAGCGGAAUUCCUGGUGUAGCGGUGAAAUGCGUAGAUAUCAGGAGGAACACCGGUGGCGAAGGCGGCUUACUGGACAGUGACUGACGUUGAGGCUCGAAAGCGUGGGGAGCGAACAGGAUUAGAUACCCUGGUAGUCCACGCGGUAAACGAUGAGUGCUAGGUGUCGGGGGGCAAAGCCCCUCG